rnacentral:rRNA from 1 species
GAUGAACGCUAGCGGCAGGCUUAACACAUGCAAGUCGAGGGGUAGAGUUCUUCGGAACUUGAGACCGGCGCACGGGUGCGUAACGCGUAUGCAAUCUACCUUUUACAGAGGGAUAGCCCAGAGAAAUUUGGAUUAAUACCUCAUAGUAUUAUUGAAUGGCAUCAUUUAAUAAUUAAAGUCACAACGGUAAAAGAUGAGCAUGCGUCCCAUUAGCUAGAUGGAAGGUAACGGCUUACCAUGGCAACGAUGGGUAGGGGUCCUGAGA